rnacentral:misc_RNA from 1 species
GGAAUUGUUCGCAAUGGGCGCAAGCCUGACGACGCAACGCCGCGUGGAGGAUGAAGGUCUUCGGAUUGUAAACUCCUGUUGCUCGGGACGAAAUGCUUCGACCUAACACGUCGAAGUUUGACGGUACCGAGUGAGGAAGCCCCGGCUAACUCUGUGCCAGCAGCCGCGGUAAUACGUAGGGGCCAAGCGUUGUCCGGAGUUACUGGGCGUAAAGCGUGCGCAGGCGGCGCGUUCUGCCCGGCGUGAAAGCCCCCGGCUCAACCGGGGAACGUCGUCGGGGACGGGCGUGCUUGAGGGUGCCAGGGGCUGGUGGAAUUCCCGGUGUAGUGGUGAAAUGCGUAGAGAUCGGGAGGAACACCCGUGGCGAAGGCGGCCAGCUGGGGCACACCUGACGCUGAGGCACGAAGGCGUGGGGAGCGAACGGGA